AGAUUUCAUCGGUAUGGGAUGGGGUCGCGUCCUAUCAGGUAGUCGGCGGGGUAACGGCCCACCGAGCCUACGACGGGUAGCCGGCCUGAGAGGGCGACCGGCCACAUUGGGACUGAGAUACGGCCCAGACUCCUACGGGAGGCAGCAGUGGGGAAUAUUGCACAAUGGGCGCAAGCCUGAUGCAGCGACGCCGCGUGCGGGAUGACGGCCUUCGGGUUGUAAACCGCUUUUGAUCGGGAGCAAGCCUUCGGGUGAGU
rnacentral:rRNA from 1 species